GACAGAGGGUGCAAACGUUGUUCGGAAUUACUGGGCGUAAAGCGCGUGUAGGCGGCUGCGCAAGUCGGAUGUGAAAUCCCGUGGCUCAACCACGGAAGUGCACCCGAAACUGCGUAGCUUGAGUCUCGGAGAGGAAGGUGGAAUGCUUGGUGUAGAGGUGAAAUUCGUAGAUAUCAAGCGGAACACCGGUGGCGAAGGCGGCCUUCUGGGACGAUGACUGACGCUGAGACGCGAAAGCGUGGGGAGCAAACAGG
rnacentral:rRNA from 1 species